GACGAGCGGCGGACGGGUGAGUAAUGUCUGGGAAACUGCCUGAUGGAGGGGGAUAACUACUGGAAACGGUAGCUAAUACCGCAUAACGUCGCAAGACCAAAGAGGGGGACCUUCGGGCCUCUUGCCAUCAGAUGUGCCCAGAUGGGAUUAGCUAGUAGGUGGGGUAACGGCUCACCUAGGCGACGAUCCCUAGCUGGUCUGAGAGGAUGACCAGCCACACUGGAACUGAGACACGGUCCAGACUCCUACGGGAGGCAGCAGUGGGGAAUAUUGCACAAUGGGCGCAAGCCUGAUGCAGCCAUGCCGCGUGUAUGAAGAAGGCCUUCGGGUUGUAAAGUACUUUCAGCGGGGAGGAAGGCG
rnacentral:rRNA from 1 species